ensembl:ncRNA ZK180.18 ncRNA
CUCUUCAAAAAUAUACCGGUCCUUGUUCAAGGUGGCACUGGUCACCCGUAUGUGGCCGGAGGGGGGUGUUGCUGCUUACCCCCAAUAGUACACCACAUUCCGAGGCGAUAGAUCGUUGCAUCGUCGGAGACACGUCU